AGGCCGUCCGCGAGCCCGUCUGUGCAAGAUGCACGCGUUCAGCCCGUGGACCUGUGCGCGCGCAGCUGGUUUUGCGCGGGCCUAGAGGGUCGCGUGUAUAUGUGCUUUCGGGCACUUGUACGCACGAUCCAUGGACGUUCAGGAGUCGUGCGGGCUAGGCCAUAUGUCCAGCACAUGUGUGGGCCUCCAAAUCUCUACUUCGAGAAGGUUGCAUUCUCCAGUUUUCCUGCAGAGUAAAAGGUCGCUC
rnacentral:lncRNA from 1 species